GGAGGAGAGACGAGUCAAGUGUGCACAAUAUUCAGUCAAAGUGACAGGCGGUGUGUGUGUCCCGAUUGGCAUUUCCCGUCGGCUCUCGGUCUCAGUCUGCAGCCAGAGCAGCAGCACGACGAUGCUGCUGGGAAAGAAAGUCAUGGAAAGAAUGCAAGGAGACAGACAGGGACAACGGGAGAACUGGGAGGGGUGAAGGAGGAGGUGAAGACAGGAAUGCAGAGAUGGAUGCAGACCCCGGGUCUUCUGCAGAGGAGGAAGAAGAAGAACACUUUAGUGACCCAGACGCUGGAACCCGGAAAAGACUCGGCGAGAGACGAGCGUGACAGAAAAAAGGUUUAAUGAAGGUAGGUAGGACGUGAUUAGAGGCGGAGGUAGUUUCCAGGCGAGGAGCUGAGACUGGUGGCGUCACUGGCAGGAUCCACAAACAGAAGGGAUGUCGUCUUGAGUGAGGAGCGACGGAGUGAAGGCAGAGGCUCGUGGUGUGACCGCUGGAGAGAUGACCAAGGUGGGGAUCCCGGUUGAGGCAGAUAAUAGCAACCACUCGUGGUGACGGAUUCCUGAGGGGGCAACGGACUGGCGAGGAAUGAUGAUCCUGAAGCUCCUUAAAAAGACAGACGAAGAGAUGAGGACUCGUGGAGGUGCUCCACAUUCAAGUGAAGGUGAACCCUCAGAGAGGGGCUGCGGGGACACAGAUCACGAGGAAAAUUUGGCGAUUCCUACAUGUUCCCGUAGUGGUCGGCGGGUGCGCCCCCCUUUACAUUUCAACGACUUUGUUAUGUUCUGAGAUUUCGUCGUUUAUGUAUUAGCACCGACCCCGACCCCGCCCCCCUACACAUCAACGGCGAGCUUGUGGAGAGGGUCCGCACCAUCAGGUUCCUCGGCGUCCUCAUCUCAGAUGACCUCUCUUGGACAGCCACCACCACAGCCGUCAUCAAAAAGGCUCAGCAGCGUCUGCACUUCCUGAGGGUUCUCAGGAAGAACCGUCUCUGUACCAACCUGCUGCUGACCUUCUACCAAUCCUCCAUCCAGAGCCGGCUCACAUACUGCAUAACAGUAUGGUUCGGCAGCUGCACCGUCGCGGACAAGUAGAGGCUCCAGAGAGUGGUUGAGACAGCGCAGAAGAUGCCCUCUCCCCUCCCUGGCUGACAUCUAUU
rnacentral:lncRNA from 1 species